ensembl:lncRNA
UGAGGGACCAGAGUUCUCUGUAGGGAAUCACUGGGUAAUUAGUACAAGCAGUGUUCCGAUGGUGUGCGAGGAGUAAAAAUUAAUAAACAGAGACUUCAAUUAAAAUAGAGUCAGGAGGCCAGAAGGGGAAGCUCUCAUACUCCAUGCUGCUGCUGUUGCUAAGUCGCUUCAGUCGUGUCCGACUCUGUUGGACCCCAUAGACGGCAGCCCACCAGGCUCCCCCAUCCCUGAGAUUCUUCAAGUAAGAACACUGGAGUGGGCUGCCAUUUCCUUCCCCAACCUCAUACUCUAUGAGGAUAGUGGAACUCAACGGGAAGGAAAACCACGUCCCCUUGUUGCCUGGCAAGAGCUCAACCAAUGAGAGACUCUCACAAUUCAGCCAAUGAGAAGCCCCUAUACUUCGAACUCUCAACUCUUCAGUGGACUCUUGUUUCUCAUAAACCUGGCAACUUUCUUUACCUCUCUUCAAAAGAGUUCUUUCUUUGUUGUGGUGGCUCACCAUGGUUACAGACCCCAAAUUUCAAAUCCUUGUUGAUUCCAAUUAAGCCCAUUUUUGCUGGAGAAAUAACUGGUAAUCUGUGUUAGUUAAACAUUUUGGCGGUCCACAUGGGGAUCCAGAGAAGGCUCCUGUUGACUUCCAGGCUGAGAAUUCCUGAGUAACAACUUUCAGAGAUAAAUCAACUCACUGCAGUGGCAUCCUAUCCAUGGACUAGUGACCCAGUGAUCAUGUAUGGAUGUGAGAGUUGGACUGUGAAGAAAGCUAAGUGCAGAAGAAUUGAUGCUUUUGCACUGUGGUGUUGGAGAAGACUCUUGAGAGUCCCUUGGACUGCAAGGAGAUCCAACCAGUCCAUUCUGAAGGAGAUCAGCCCUGGGAUUUCUUUGGAAGGAAUGAUGCUAAAGCUGAAACUCCAGUACUUUGGCCACCUCAUGCGAAGACUUGACUCAUUGGAAAAGACUCUGAUGCUGGGAGGGAUUGGGUGCAGGAGGAGAAGGGGACAAC